GCCCCCGUAGCUCAAUGGAUAGAGCGGCUCCGUCCUAAGGAGACGAUGCGGGUUCGAUUCCUGCCGGGGGCA
rnacentral:tRNA from 1 species